rnacentral:lncRNA from 1 species
UGUACUCGACGCCGAGCUCUUUGUCGAAUACGGUGCCUCCAGGAGUCGUUGGGACCUCAUUUGUGACGGUGUAAUCUACCGCGGUGGAGCUGUGAAGGGAUGUAGCUAAUGCGAGCAGGUAAACGAGGAAGAAAACUGGGUGAUUAGCCAUUUUUUGGUUUGUUUGUUUGAUUUGGUGAAUCAUUAUUGCAUAGUUCUAAGAUUUAUAUAGACAAAACUGGAAAGCAUCGUUUACUGGACAUAAUGUUGAAAUUUCAAUAUAGGUUGAAGCUUCCUUCGUCGUUGAAAUUUCUUUACAAAUUGAAGACGAACUGUUACCGGGCAUCUGGACCCAUUUUGUACGUAUAGAUUUUGCUGUUUUUCCGAAAGAUUUUGGAAAGUAAGAAUGGUAGAAGUAAGGAGAAGUGC